AUUACUUUAUAAUAUUCUGUGUGCAUGUAGUAUAUGUUUUUUAACGAUUUGACUAUAGUUGCAAUAAUAAAUGUGCAUGUUUCUAGUAAUCUUCAACGUAUACUUACAUCUUUUUAACAUACAUCUCUGCCAUUAAAUCUCUUUGUUUAAUUAUUGUUUAACACUCUUUACGCCUAAGAGAUGGUCUCAGAAGCAGCCCUGAUCAGUUUUUCUCCCUCUUACUCAUGAAGCCCCUUAAUGUAUCCCAAGGUAUCAACUACGAAGGAUUUUACGUACUUAUCGUUUGUUUAUUUUUCUUUCAGUCAGUAUAUUCCAUGGGCCAGAAAUAGUCUAUGUUAUGCAGAUACAGUGGUGAAAGGUACACACUGUCCCUGUCCUCAUGAAGGGGACAACCCAGUGCAGGUGGGAGGAGCACUGGGGAAAUGCAGCUGAGAGCAAGGACAGACAACCCUCCAGGAACCACACUGGACUUCAGAGAGGCUUGUUGGCUGCUGUUCACCUGGCAGGCUUCUAGAUACCCGAGUACCCUUGGGCUUGGUGCCUGCUCCUCUCUCUGUUGACACCCUCCCUCUAGGAUGCCUCAGUGAGUUUACUGCUAUCUAUUUGUAGCUAAGGACGUGAGGUUUAUACCUCCAUCCAUUCAAACUCCUCCUGGGUCCAGACUCAUAUAUUCAAAUGUGAGCCUAACUCUCUGUAUUGACCUCUUUAUGCAUUAUAAUGAUACAUUCCUCAUAUGGCCAUCAUGAAAGCAAACAUGAAAGGAAAAGCACAGGAGUGCCUGACACCAGUGUAGGUACUCAAUGAACAUUAGCCGUUGGUAUUAUCCUUGACAUCCCCAUGUGGGGUGAAGUUUUAUUACCUGACAUCUCCAUGUGAAUAUCUAACACCUACACCAUGUUAUCUAGGCUAUGAAACAAUUCUUGGUUCCAACCACCAUUCUUUUCUUAUCCAUGAAUUUCUCAAGGCUUUGGUGAUGGGAGUGUGUGUUUUUCCACACAAUGGAUGUGAUUAGGAAUGGUUGGCCAGGUCCUACACAAUAAAUUGCUCCAGCAUUCCUUUGGGUGACCAUUGAGACAAGUUUCAGCCAACGAAUGUAGCAAAGAAUUGGAACCACUCUCAGCUGUUCAUGCGAGUACUCUCAAUCCAGAAUAUCUGGUAAGUCGACUGUUAGGGAUUGAAUUGUGUCCCUCCAAAAUGUAUGUGGAAAUCCUAACCCCUGUACCUGUAAAUCUGACCUUGUUAGGAAAGAGGGGGCCUGCUUUUAUUAUGUGAAUGAGGUCAUACCAAUGUAGGGUGGGUCCUAAGCCUAACUCUUCUUAGUUAUAAAAGGAGCAGAAUGCACACAGACAGAAACAGGUGAAAAGGAAGACAGACAAAGAAGACAGAUGCUUCUAGAAGGCCAGGAACACAAAUGAUUGCUGGCAUCUACUAGAAGCUGAGGUAGACAAGGAAGGACCUCCCACUACAGCCAUGCCCUGAAUUCGAACGACUACCUGCUAAACUGUGAGAAAAUAAAUUUCUGUUCUUUAAAGCCAUCCAGUUGUGUUAUUUUUUGUUAUGGAGGGACUAGGUAACUAAGACACAUACCCGUUCUUAUAAGUUCAGCCCAGUGCAGAAUAAUUUUCUUCCCUCCUUGGUCUAGACCACCCGAACCUACUCUUUCCCUAUCAGUGUCCUUUGCUUUCACCUAAGAGCUAUGACAGAGUCAGCUUGAUGCUGAUGCACUGAAAUUUCAAUUUAUUUUUUAUUUAUGAUUACUAUUAAUUCCAGUAUUUUCUACAGUUUUCAAUGGAGACAGUCCUAUAAUCUAUGAAUAGCAGUUAUACUUUUUCUCUUUUUGUACUAGCUUACACUUCCGGUGUUCAAUGUUUAAUAAAAGUAAUGAUAGAAGCACCCUUAUUUUAUUGUUUAUUAAUUUUAAAGAGAAUGUCCCACACGUCACCAUGAACUAUCAUGCUAGUUGUAGUUUUCCACGUUCGGGAACUCCUUUUCUGUUCCAUAUUUGCUCCUAGUCCUUAUCUCUCCGUGUGAUUGGAUUUUAUCAACCUGCUUUGCCCCCAUCUCUUGAGGUGAGCAUAUGUCUUCUCUUCUUUCACCUAUGCAUGUGGUGAGUGAAAUUACUAAAUCUUUAACGUUCACUCAAAUUUGUAUGCCUACAAUAAACCGCCUUGAUCAUGGCAUGUUACGUGGUUUACCCUUUGCUGGAUUUCCUUUGCUGGCAUCUUACGUAGGGUUUUGCAUCUCAGUUACUGAGUGUGCUUGUCCUCUAACUCUUCUUCUACCAUCCUUCUCUAAAAUUUGUUAUCAUUUUUAAACUAGGCUUAAGGAUCAAGUUACGGGAGUAUCUCAUGGUUUUCUAAUCUCUGUUGACUAUGUACAAGAUUAAAAUGACUGUUUCUUGCAUGUUUGCUGGAACCUGACUGGAAACGAUCUAGGUCUGCCGUUUUCUUUGUAGGGAGAUCUUGAACUACUGACCCAUUUUAUUUAGUGGUUAAAGGCAUCUUCUGGUGCUAAUUUACUUAGAAAAAAUUCUGAUGCAUGUUCUAGGUUGCUCGAAUCUCAUCUUCAAAUAUUGAUUAUCAGGGCUUGUAGCCUCAUGCAAGGCAAUUCAUCAAUCCCAGAUUUCCCCAAAGUCAGGCUCUGCAACUCUUCCCGGUACCAUAUUCCCUCAUUUAAGACUUAUUUGCAAAGAGACAACAGUAUGCUAUCUACGCAGUUGUUUAUCCGCAACCUUCUUGAGUCCAUAACGUGAGGAUACAGUCUUCUAAUACUUUUUUUGUAAUUGUUCUCUUUCUUAUUUUUUUUUUCCUUUUUUCACUGCCAAUACCCUCCCCCCCCAGUCUAGUAGUUUUAAAGUUGUGCGUUUCAGGUUCAAGUCUGUAAUCCAACUGAGCUUCUGUGUGUGCUGCAUGUGUGCAUCAAAAGAACGCGCUUCUAGAAGCAGAAAGCAGGCAGUGCGACUGCUGGGCGGUUGGUGGGGUAGGGGGAGGGGAGCUGCUGCUCAGAGAGGGCGCCCGAGGGAGGCAGGAGAUGCCGGGCUGCCCACCGCAAGCCCACAGGCUCCAAGGAGGAGGAACCUGCGUUCGCCAUGAGCCUUUUGAGACAGGCCCAAGCCCACCCAGCCGGGUGCUAACCUCGCAUCCGCCAGGCUUGCAGGUUCCACCAGGACUAGGGGAAGCCUAAGGCCGAGGAGGGCAAGGUCUAGGGUCUGGACCUGAGAACUGGUUCUGCCACUUGUGAUCGCAGCGCUUAUGCUGGAAAGGAGGGCAGGAAGCAUAUCGCAACGUGUGUCCGGACGAUGACCCAAAACGGGGGAGUUGUGGUCACCCACGGACUCUGGGUCUGCAUAUGGAGGCCCCCAGGGUGCAAUUCCAGGAGCAGAAGGCAAAGCCACAGAGGCCAAAGUGCACCUCGCCGAUGCUUCCCAGGGGCAUUUCCCCAAAUAUGGGGAGCAGUCCCUCCUCUGGGCUAGGGACUUUGUUUCCUCCAUUGUCAUCACUGACUGUGAGCAGACUCUUGUCUAGGCAGACUAAUGAGGAGUUAUCAAAAUGAGCUCCAAACUCCGGAUUUGAGUUAAGGAUCAUAAAUUAACACAGAGAAAUACGACUUUAGCAAUAAGUGACUGUUUGAAGCCCAAGUUGCCUUAAAACACGGAAUUUCAGUCUUUCAGCUCCUCUGCUAAUCUAGUGACUAAGAACAGGAUCUCACUGGAGCUCAAAGAUGUGGGGCACUGGGAAUACUCUGGGUCUGUCUGCUCACGGCUGAUUGCCUGAUCCCAGUUUUAUUAUACAGCUUAAAUACAGACCAGAAGAGGAGUUUGGGGCUUGACACCUGACAUCUUAACACCAGUUCCUGUUUCUUGAGGAAGGAAGAGGUAAAAUAAAUCAGCGUUUACUGUGUCCUUCUCCAUCCCCGGAAGUCCUGAUGAAGACCCUCUCAGCUUCUACUUGAACGUGAAUAUGAGCAACUGAUCAUCUGUUCUGAAGUCAGCCCCUGGCCUGAUUCUGACUCAUGGUAUUGACCUUCUCCAUCAUCACCUUCCACAAAUUUGAUUCCUAUCUAUUCUGCCUGGAAUGGUUCACGAGUAUAGUCACCAUUUAUGUUCCUGACGAAAGCAGGUGAAGGCAUUCGUGGAGAGAGGCAAUUUCCAUGCGUGCAGGCAAAGUGUGUGCUGAGAUGAUGAGUUGCUGGAGACCAGGGUGGACUCUUAAGACCCAGAAUAGGCCUCUGACAGGUAUGUGUCAAUGUUUUCUGCCCAUGGCACUCACCCGGGUAUUUGCAUAGAAUGUUAUCAG